rnacentral:lncRNA from 1 species
GAACUUGACAGCAUACUUAGCUUCAUCCCACACAGAUGCAUGUUUUGUAUACUCAAUCUAUGCAAGCUCCUAGUUGUCUAUGGCUUCGUUUCCAGAAUUACUCUUAGUUGGUAGACUUUACCCGUUUCCAAUUAUAUAUUGUUGAAACACUGAAAUAAAAUUACCUUUAACGUAAGUAUAUCCAAAGCUGGUUAAACCCAUCUCUCCAAUUCAAUUGUGCAAAAAAAAAAAAAGGAAACUACAAAUAGCUUCCAAGUUCCAAUGCCAACUUAAGGGCCCGUACGUAAUGCAAAUGAAAAAUAUGCAGUUCUUAGUGAAC